CGCGUAGGCGGACAGUUUAGUCAGAGGUGAAAGCCCGGGGCUCAACCUCGGAAUUGCCUUUGAUACUGGCUGUCUUGAGUACGGGAGAGGUGUGUGGAACUCCGAGUGUAGAGGUGAAAUUCGUAGAUAUUCGGAAGAACACCAGUGGCGAAGGCGACACACUGGCCCGUUACUGACGCUGAGGCGCGAAAGCGUGGGGAGCAAACA
rnacentral:rRNA from 1 species